GACAGAGGGUGCGAACGUUGUUCGGAAUUACUGGGCGUAAAGCGCGUGUAGGCGGCCAUCUAAGUCGGGCGUGAAAUCCCACGGCUCAACCGUGGAAGUGCACUCGAAACUGGAUGGCUAGAGUCCUGGAGAGGAAGGUGGAAUGCUUGGUGUAGAGGUGAAAUUCGUAGAUAUCAAGCGGAACACCGGUGGCGAAGGCGGCCUUCUGGACAGUGACUGACGCUGAGACGCGAAAGCGUGGGGAGCAAACAGG
rnacentral:rRNA from 1 species